rnacentral:rRNA from 1 species
UACGGAGGGUGCGAGCGUUGUCCGGAAUCACUGGGCGUAAAGGGCGCGUAGGCGGCCUGGUAAGUAGGGGGUGAAAUCCUGCGGCUUAACCGCAGGGCUGCCUUCUAAACUGUCAGGCUCGAGCACGGUAGAGGCAGAUGGAAUUCCCGGUGUAGCGGUGGAAUGCGUAGAGAUCGGGAAGAACAUCAGUGGCGAGGGCGGUCUGCUGGGCCGUUGCUGACGCUGAGGCGCGACAGCGUGGGGAGCAAACAGG